rnacentral:lncRNA from 1 species
AUGUCCAGGCUGCCCCGUCCCCUACUCCAGCCAAAUGUCCAGGCUGCCCCUGUCCCCUACUCCAGCCAAACCCCCAGGCCGCCCCUGCCCUCUACUGCAGCCAAACCUCCAGGCCGCCCCUGCCCCCUACUCCAGCCAAACCCCCAGGCCGCCCCUGCCCCCUACUCCAGCCAAAUGUCCAGGCUGCCCCGUCCCCUACUCCAGCUAAGACUCCAGGCCACCCCUGCCCCUACUCCAGCUAAGACCCCAGGCCACCCCUGCCCCUCCCUACUCCAGCUAAGACCCCAGGCCACCCCUGCCCCUACUCCAGCUAAGACUCCAGGCCACCCCUGCCCCUACUCCAGCCAGGCCUCCAGGCCGUCCCACUAGCCUGAGUUGUACACAAGCUCCUGUGGUUUCUGGCCAACUCUAUCUCCCAAACAUCCCAUCCCCAAAUGGCAGCUUCUGACCGUGUCCAGACCACACACGCCUCUCCCGAAACCAUCUGCCAGACCCUGUCUCAAGGUGGUGACGGACAGGGGUCCGUGCAAUGUCCCUGAGGGUUUUUAAAACCAGCCUGUCUGCUAUCCACCGGCCCCCUCCCCUUCCUCUGUCUUUCCAGAUGCUGCGGCCACACGGGGUUCUCGGCUUUCGUUUGAACAGCCUGCAUGCACUGCCGCUCCCCCACGGCCUCCGUACCUGCCGCUCCAUCUGGCACGGGUGGCCUCUCCUGGGAGCACCCACCGGUCCCUCCUGCCUCAGAUUUCAAAUAAUUCCACAACCACCUUCACCCCAGAAUCCAGCUCUCCCUCCCCUCCGCUGCUGUCCACACCCUCAAACCACCUUCUAACCUCUUCAUCUUUUUUAUUUUUUUUGAGAUGGAGUCUCGCUCUGUCUCCCAAGCUGCACUGCAGGGGCGCGUUCUCGGCUCACUGCAACCUCCACCUCCCGGGUUCCCGCCAUUCUCCUGCCUCAGCCUCCCGAGUAGCUGGGAUGACAGGUGCCCGUCACCAGGCCCAGCUAAUUUUUUGUAUUUGUAGUAGUAUUUUGUAUUUGUAUUUUGUAUUUGUAUUUUGUAUUUUGUAUUUCACCAUGUUGGCGAGGCGGGUCUGGAACUCCUGACCUCACAUGAUCUGGCUGUCUUAGCCUCUCCCAGAUUGCUGGGGUGACACGUGUGAUCCACCACACCUGGCCUGAGAUCUGAUGGUUUUAUAAACGGGCGAUCCCCGGCGCACGCCCUCUUGCCUGCCGCCGGCUGUAAGACGUGCCUUCGCUUCUCCUUCGCUUCCCCGCCGUGGCUGUGGAGGCCUCUCUGGCCGCGUGGAACUGUGAGACCGUUAAACAUUUUUGUUUCUUUAUAAAUUACCCACUCUGAGGUAUGCCUUUGUCAGCAGCAUGAAAACGGACUAAUACAAUAUGUUUGUCAGCCACGAGUGUGUCUUGUUUUUCAGAAGUGUGGGUCGGCCGGGCGCGGUGGCUCACGCCUGUCAUUCCAGCACUUUGGGAGGCCGAGGCGGGCGGAUCACAAGGUCAGGAGAUCAAGACCAGCCUGGCCAACACGGUGAAACCCCGACUCUACUAAAAAUACAAAAAUUAGCCGGGCGAGGUGGCAGGUGCCUGUCGUCCCAGCUACUCGGGAGGCUGAGGCAGGAGAAUGGCGUGAACCGGAGGCGGAGGGAUUGCAGUGAGAGCUGAGAUCUGGCCACUGCACUCCAGCCUGGGUGACAGAGCGAGACUCCGUCUCAAAAACAAGACAAGUGUCCGUUCAUGUCCUUUGUAAGUCUCCAUUCUCUAGUCACCGUGUCCCUGCC